AUUGAACGCUGGCGGCAGGCUUACACAUGCAAGUCGAACGGUAACAUAAAGAAGCUUGCUUCUUUGAUGACGAGUGGCGGACGGGUGAGUAAUGCUUGGGAAUCUAGCUUAUGGAGGGGGAUAACUACGGGAAACUGUAGCUAAUACCGCGUAAUAUCGAAAGAUUAAAGUGUGGGACCUUCGGGCCACAUGCCAUAGGAUGAGCCCAAGUGGGAUUAGGUAGUUGGUGAGGUAAAGGCUCACCAAGCCGACGAUCUCUAGCUGGUCUGAGAGGAUGACCAGCCACACUGGGACUGAGACACGGCCCAGACUCCUACGGGAGGCAGCAGUGGGGAAUAUUGCGCAAUGGGGGCAACCCUGACGCAGCCAUGCCGCGUGAAUGAAGAAGGCCUUCGGGUUGUAAAGUUCUUUCGGUAGCGAGGAAGGCUAUAGUUUAAUAGACUAGGUGAUUGACGUUAACUACAGAAGAA
rnacentral:rRNA from 1 species